rnacentral:misc_RNA from 1 species
UCCGGUUUGUCACCGGCGGUCUCCCUAGAGUUCCCACCCGAAGUGCUGGCAACUAGGGACAAGGGUUGCGCUCGUUGCGGGACUUAACCCAACAUCUCACGACACGAGCUGACGACAGCCAUGCAGCACCUGUGCAAAUUGUCCCUUUCGGGACUCGCCGGCUUUCACCGGUUUAGAGAUGCAUGUCAAGGCCAGGUAAGGUUCUCCGCGUUGCAUCGAAUUAAGCCACAUACUCCACCGCUUGUGCGGGCCCCCGUCAAUUUCUUUGAGUUUUAAUCUUGCGACCGUACUCCCCAGGCGGCACGUUUAACGCGUUAGCUCCGGCGCAGAGGGGGUCGAAUCCCCCCACACCAAACGUGCACCGUUUACUGCCAGGACUAC